AUUGAACGCUGGCGGCAGGCCUAACACAUGCAAGUCGAACGAGUGGCGGACGGGUGAGUAAUGUCUGGGAAACUGCCCGAUGGAGGGGGAUAACUACUGGGAACGGUAGCUAAUACCGCAUACCAUCGGAUGUGCCCAGGUGGGAUUAGCUAGUAGGUGGGGUAACGGCGCACCUAGGCGACUAUCCCUAGCUGGUCUGAGAGGAUGACCAGCCACACUGGAACGGAGACACGGUCCAGACUCCUACGGGAGGCAGCAGUGGGGAAUAUUGCACAAUGGGCGCAAGCCUGAUGCAGCCAUGCCGCGUGUAUGAAGAAGGCCUUCGGGUUGUAAAGUACUUUCAGCGGGGAGGCGUUACUCGCAGAAGAAGCACCGGCUAACUCCGUGCCAGCAGCCGCGGUAAUAC
rnacentral:rRNA from 1 species